ACAAAGGCUCUUUUAAGAGCCACUCCAUACGCAAUAAAGUAUUAG
rfam:Fulmarus glacialis contig61561, whole genome shotgun sequence.